rnacentral:rRNA from 1 species
UACGGAGGGGGCUAGCGUUGUUCGGAAUUACUGGGCGUAAAGCGCACGUAGGCGGCUUUGUAAGUUAGAGGUGAAAGCCCGGGGCUCAACCUCCGGAAUUGCCUUUAAGACUGCAUCGCUAGAAUUGUGGAGAGGUGAGUGGAAUUCCGAGUGUAGAGGUGAAAUUCGUAGAUAUUCGGAAGAACACCAGUGGCGAAGGCGACUCACUGGACACAUAUUGACGCUGAGGUGCGAAAGCGUGGGGAGCAAACAGG